AUGUUCACAGCAAAAAAGGCAGAUUGAAAAUAGUAUUUAAUGAGAAAAUAUGCGGAUUCAAAUGGGCUGAAAUCUUUGAGGAACCGUUUUGUCUGAAGUACGAGCCGAUUGUAAAAUCUACCCGAGUGUUCGUGAAUCCCGUCCGUUUUGCAGCAACAAAAAGACUACUUAGAGACUCUACACUACCAUUCUAAUAACAUUCCUUCACGUCUAUAUCUAUGGAGAUCUAUAAGGAGAUCCUGAGAAGAAAGGGCCUUGGAUUUAUUAUGUUUUCAGCUAUAAAAAUAGUUCAAUUGUGUCAACGAGUUUCUUGCUAUCAGAAAGUCGACAAGUUCACAGUUUACAACAAAAAGCGAACACAACCACACAAGCGACAAACAGAAAGCGACGAAAAACACUGCCAAGGUAAAACCAACCAAGGGCUACCCGAGGGCCAUGAUUGAUGCUGAAGGCUGGGAGGCAUGAGAAUAGGCAAAUGUCUUAAAGAUAAUAAAGUAGAGGAUUUCUUACUUUUAUACAGCAGUAAAUGUGGAAUAGGCUUUUUAAAGCAAAUACUUGCCCUCAAUGAUAGAUUUUUUCUAUCAACCUAAAGAUAAUGAGGAAAGGGAAAAUGUUAGGAGAGUGCUCAACCAAGUUGUUGCAUUACUGAUGAUUUUUUUUAUCAAAGCUAUAGUCCUCUAUCUCUUGACUAUUGAUAUUAUUUGCUGUUUCCUCUCUGCACCCUAAAUAAAUUAAAAUAGGUAAUAGGUUUGAAAUUAGACAUUUUCAAUCAAUUUGUUCUCCUCCUUGCAUUCAAUUUUGGAGUAGCAUUAGCAUAUGUGGAUCCAUGGUUUCUAUAAAAAAGAAGCAGGCCACCAUCCUACAGGGUGGGUGCACCAAUGUCUAAUGCAUGACUGGAGGUAUGUUUGUGAAUUUUAAUUUCCUUGGUGAUGGAGUAUCACCAUAAAUAUACUUAAAUUAUAUAAAGACAACAUCAAACUUGUGCUUUUUCAAUAAUAAAUCUGUAAAGAAAACAGGGGAAAAUGUUAGGAAUAUGCUCAUUUAAGCUAUUAUUGCAUUGUUGUUAUAUAUUUUUUAAAGUAGAGUCACAUUUGUUUCAAAUAGAGUCAUUCAUUUCUCC